rnacentral:misc_RNA from 1 species
AGAGAGAGUCAAACAGUACGUGAAACCGUCAGGGGGGAAACGAACGAGGUUGGUGCAGUGCUCGUGCAGGUUCAAGCCCGGCCGAGGGCGCCGACGCGGCGGCGGAGAUCGUCCCGCGCCGGCCGCCCGAGGCCGUGCCGUACUCCUCGCGAGCGCGGACCAGCGGCGGUUAGACCGGAGCGACAAGGCGACAGCGGAAGGUGAGUCGAUGCGGGCCCGUCCCGCAUGGACAGCUUACAGCCCUGGCGUACGAUGCUCCGGUGCGACCGAGGAACAUGGGCAGCCCUUGCCCGCCGUGGCGCACGCCGUAUGGCGGGGCCCCCCGACGCGAGUGAACCGUGCGGUGUGGACUGCGUGCAGUGCUAACCGUGGCGGGGAUCUCGCGCCGGUGGGUGCCACUUGUGCGCCAUCGCCGCUGGUAGUCGGAUGGCCUCGUCCGACCCGUCUUGAAACACGG